GGACGUAUAGCCUAGCCCGGAUAAGGCGAGUGGCUUCUAACCACUAGAUCAAGGGUUCAAAUCCCUUUACGUCCG
rnacentral:tRNA from 1 species